AGUGAACGCUGGCGGUAGGCCCAACACAUGCAAGUCGAACGGCAGCACAGUAAGAGCUUGCUCUUACGGGUGGCGAGUGGCGGACGGGUGAGGAAUACAUCGGAAUCUACUUUUUCGUGGGGGAUAACGUAGGGAAACUUACGCUAAUACCGCAUACGCCCUACGGGUGAAAGCAGGGGAUCUUCGGACCUUGCGCGAUUGAAUGAGCCGAUGUCGGAUUAGCUAGUUGGCGGGGUAAAGGCCCACCAAGGCGACGAUCCGUAGCUGGUCUGAGAGGAUGAUCAGCCACACUGGAACUGAGACACGGUCCAGACUCCUACGGGAGGCAGCAGUGGGGAAUAUUGGACAAUGGGCGCAAGCCUGAUCCAGCCAUACCGCGUGGGUGAAGAAGGCCUUCGGGUUGUAAAGCCCUUUUGUUGGGAAAGAAAAGCAGCAGGUUAAUACCCCGCUGUUCUGACGGUACCCAAAGAAUAAGCACCGGCUAACUUCGUG
rnacentral:rRNA from 1 species